CAGGUGUUUGUUGAUCAGCGUUGUAGAGGAAUACAAAGCGAAAAAACACGUGGACAGCAUACAAGAGAAAGGCGAUGGACCGUACCGAGACAAGGGUGCAAGACCUCCGAAUUUUACGGCUCAAAGAGAAGACCGUCGUCAUUUCAGAGGACACGCUGCCAUUAAAAGAAGUCCAUAAUCCACCUGACUGGAUGUGAUGCAUUCAAGCGACAGCAUUGUGGAGCUGUAUUCCCCCACAUCAAGUUGUGGACCGUCACACAAUCCCGUUCACUUCCCCAACAUCAGGGUCCUCCUUCAGUUGGCCUGUACCAUCCCAGUAACAUGGUGUCAAUGUGAGCCAAGUGCCAGUACCUUGAAGCGUGUGAACACCUACAUGAGGGCCAGCAUGACGCAACAGCGGCUGACCUCGCUGGCACUUCUCCACAUUCACUACAAAAAGGUUAUCAACCUGGAGGAAGUGGUGGACAUAUUUUCCACGACACAUCCAAGAAAGAUGAUGCUGAAUUUGUGAUAGACCUGACCUCAGCCUGUAGUGCUGCUACUACCCCCCAUCCACUCAUCCUAUAUUCUUGCUACAACAGAAUGUGGCCCCCGGCCCCCCCAAAAUGAGGAUACCUGCAGAGCACGGUACAAUCAAGCACCUGUAAAAAGUGUGGCGAGUUGUGUACUGCUGCAACUGGCCAGAGUACAGUCAGUGACAAAAGAUGAAUGCGUUGUUCAAAUGAGAAAACAAAAAUAUUUCACUCACUUUGCUUAUUUUACAUGAUUUUUUUUCUUUGUUGCUGUUGUGUACUUCUUUUACCUUUGAAUAUGUUUUUUAAUUUCUCAUUUUAUAUCGUCUGUUAUUUAGUUGUAUUUGUUGUGUACAUGUUAUUGUAUUUGUAUGUGUAUCGUCAUAUUCAUUGCUUAAACCAUUUGUGUGUUCAUUUUAACUGCACUACUAAAUAUGUUUAUAUCCAAAAUGGUCACAUUUACAGUAUCUCUUUAAGAUGAUGAGUUUCUUAUUUCUGUCUCAAUGCUGAAGCGUGUGGUUCUAUCUGAGGAUAUGGGAGUCUAAAUAACCAAACCAAAGAGUAUAAACCAGUGAGAUUUAUUCCUGACAGAAAUACCUAAUACAGACGUCCGGGCCUUAAUACAGUCCCUGUAUGCCUACGAUUAACUGUAAUCGUUAAUUAACUGAUAACUGAUUAACUGUAGACACAGUAGCAGUGUAGGGUGGGGAAAGCCCCCCGCCCCCCAGCAUGUCCGUCCGUCCAUCCAUCCAUCCAUCCAUCCAUUUUCUAUACAGCUUCUCAUUAGGGUCGCGGGGGUUUGCUGGAGCCUGUCCGAGCUGAGAGGCGGGGUACAGCCUGGACUGAUCGCCAGCCAAUUGCAGAGCACAUAUAGACAAACAACCAUUCACACUCACAUUCAUACCUAUGGACAAUUUAGAGUCACCAAUUAACCUAACAUGCAUGUUUUUGGAAUGUGGGAGGAAGCCGGAGUACCCGGAGAAAACCCCCACACACACGC